rnacentral:rRNA from 1 species
UACGUAGGGUGCGAGCGUUAAUCGGAAUUACUGGGCGUAAAGCGCACGUAGGCGGCUUAGCAAGUCGGAUGUGAAAGCCCUCGGCUCAACCAAGGAAGUGCAUCCGAAACUGCUGAGCUUGAGUACUUAAGAGGAUCGCGGAAUUCCCGGUGUAGAGGUGAAAUUCGUAGAUAUCGGGAGGAACACCGAUGCGAAGGCAGUUCUCUGGCCGUAACUGACGCUGAGAGCGAAAGCGUGGGAGCGAACGAG